GAUUUAGGAUUAGGGUUUGGUUUAGGAUUUAGGAUUUGAUUAGGAUUUGAUUUAGGAUUAGGAUUUGGUUUAGGAUUUAGGAUUUGAUUAGGAUUUGAUUUAGGAUUAAGAUUUGGUUAGGAUUUGAUUAAGGGUUAGGGUUUGGUUUAGGAUUUAAGACUAAGAUUAGGAUUUGGUUAGGAUUUGAUUUAAGAUUAGGAUUUAGGAUUUGAUUAGGGUUUGAUUUAGUAUUAGGAUUUGAUUAGGAUUUGAUUAGGAUUUGGUUUAAGAUUUAAGAUUACGGUUAGAAUUUGGUUAGGAUUUGAUUUAAGAUAAGGAUUUAGGAUUUGGUUAGGAUUUGGUUUAGGAUUUAAAGUUUGAUUAGGGUUUGAUUUAGGAUUUAGGAUUUUAUUUGAGUUUAUUUAAGGUAUAAGAUUUAGUUAGUUUUUGGCCUAAAAUUUGAAUGAAAUAAGAUUUCAACUAGGAUUAUAUUAAAAUUGAAUUAAGAUGUAUUUGAGAUAUGUGGUAGUAACUAAGUAAGACCUUGUUGUUCUUCAACACUCCCAACAUAUUGUAGAUAGCGAUAUUAGCUGCAAUAAUCUAUGAAAUGCUAUGUUAGAAGAUUUUUUAAAUUGAUAUAACUUGCAAGAAGAUAUAAAGACUUAAACAUCAUGAUCCAAACUUGCUCAAAAUCAUGUCCUUUCAUGAUCUAUUCCAGGGUCUUUUUUUAUUGUCUAGAUAUUGGGAUGUCAUGUCCAUCCUAAAAUAUGAGCAUUUAGAGUUUAGUAUUGUUGGAUGCAUAAAUUUACUUCUUGAAAUAGAACAAGCCAUUAUCAAGAAUAUAAUUUUAAUAUUAUAUAUUAUCUACUUUCAAUCGAUUGCUAACCAUCUUGAAAUAAGCAUCCCAUUACAUAAGUUCUUUCUAUUCUAUCUCUUUAAUUAGAUUUAAAAUGAUCUUAUUAAUAGUAGCAACUUCUAUCUUAUCUUCUAAUUCGUCCUUCAAGUUUGGUCUCCAUGAUAAACUGUUUGGCACAGUAUGUUGU
rnacentral:lncRNA from 1 species